rnacentral:tRNA from 1 species
AAGUUCCGGCAGAGACCUAGCCUGCUUCUUCAGAUUUGCAAUCUGAUAUGUAGUACACCUCGGAACU